GAAUGAAGAACGCAGCGAAAUGCGAUAAGUAAUGUGAAUUGCAGAAUUCAGUGAAUCAUCGAAUCUUUGAACGCACCUUGCGCCCUUUGGACUUCUGAAGGGCAUGCCUGUUUGAGUAUCAUGAACACCUCAACUCCUUAUGGUCUUCCAUGAUGAGCUUGGACUUUGGGGGUUUUGCUGGCCUACAGUCAGCUCCUCUAAAAUAAAUCAGCUUACCGGUGUUUGGUGGGUAUCAUGGGUGUGAUAACUAUCUACGCUCGUGGUUUUCCACCAGGUAACCUUCAGCAGUGGAGGUUCACUGGAGCUCAUAGAUGUCUCUCCUCAGCGAGGACAGCCCUUUGAAUGUUUGAUCUCAAAUCAGGUAGGACUACCCGCUGAACUUAAGCAUAUCAAUAAGCGGAGGA
rnacentral:misc_RNA from 1 species